rnacentral:rRNA from 1 species
GGGUUGUGAGGUUAAGCGACUAAGCGUACACGGUGGAUGCCCUGGCAGUCAGAGGCGAUGAAGGACGUGCUAAUCUGCGAUAAGCGCCGGUAAGGUGAUAUGAACCGUUAUAACCGGCGAUUUCCGAAUGGGGAAACCCAGUGUGAUUCGUCACACUAUCAUUAACUGAAUCCAUAGGUUAAUGAGGCGAACCGGGGGAACUGAAACAUCUAAGUACCCCGAGGAAAAGAAAUCAACCGAGAUUCCCCCAGUAGCGGCGAGCGAACGGGGAGGAGCCCAGAGCCUGAAUCAGCAUGUGUGUUAGUGGAAGCGUCUGGAAAGGCGCGCGAUACAGGGUGACAGCCCCGUACACAAAAGCGCAUGUGCUGUGAGCUCGAUGAGUAGGGCGGGACACGUGGUAUCCUGUCUGAAUAUGGGGGGACCAUCCUCCAAGGCUAAAUACUCCUGACUGACCGAUAGUGAACCAGUACCGUGAGGGAAAGGCGAAAAGAACCCCGGCGAGGGGAGUGAAAAAGAACCUGAAACCGUGUACGUACAAGCAGUGGGAGCACCCUUUUGGGUGUGACUGCGUACCUUUUGUAUAAUGGGUCAGCGACUUAUAUUCUGUAGCAAGGUUAACCGCAUAGGGGAGCCGGAGGGAAACCGAGUCUUAAUUGGGCGUUAAGUUGCAGGGUAUAGACCCGAAACCCGGUGAUCUAGCCAUGGGCAGGUUGAAGGUUGGGUAACACUAACUGGAGGACCGAACCGAC